AAGCUUCAGUAGCAUAAAUCCACAUAAACAAAAUUUAUUUAAACCACGAUAGGCCUUUCUUACAUUUUCAUAUAAAAUAAAAGUAGUAUCUUGACCUGAAGCCACCAACUAUCAAGCCAGCAUUUAAAUGAAGAAAAAUGGACCAAAGAUUUUCGGGAGCUACUAACUAUUCAAGGCAGCAUCUAAAUGAAUAAAAUGGACCAAAAAGAUUUUAGGAAGGUGGAGUUUAGCGUCCUUGAUGAAACCAAUAAAUUUGGCAUCAUACUUGAAGGUGCUGACCAAACAUUUUCACUAGUGACGUUUCAUUUCUCGGAAUAUGUUUGCAACUCUCGGGGAUAAUCUUGGAAGAAAUUUAAACAACUGCAUCAUAAUAACAAAAAUAAGAAUUAUCAAAAAGUAGAAACUGAAGAAAGCUGAAAAGUAGCAAAACUUCAAGUAAUAGCACAUAACAAAAUAAAAAUUCCCCUAGUGACAAAAGCAUAUGAACAUUUUUGCCGUCAAAAUGCAUGAAAUAUUUUGUUGAAGUUAGUUUUCUACUGCUCCAAGUAAUACCGGCAUGAGGUCAGAUGAAAUGCACACUUCUAGACAAUCAAGUGACUAGGAAGGAAAACAUAAUAGGACAAUCACCAUUUAAUCAUGUAUUUUGCAUUAGACCCUAGCUGAUUUUGUUCUGUUUUCCACCAAAAAGAGGAGGAGAAAAAAGGUAAGAGGGUAAGUUCAUCUCGAGAAAUUAGUUCAAAGGAUUGAAAUUAACAAUGGCUCUAGCAGUUAUGCUAAAAAUAAGAGGCAGAACUAGCUAACUUCCAGUGGCAAAGGCUCGUACCCAUUCACCCAAGCAUACUGACAUGAUCUUCUCAUAGAAUCAGGUCCUAUAACUUUUAUCCUGACUAGAGAUAAGCAGAGAAAUUGCAGGAUAUUUUAUCGAUACCCCUAAAGAGAUAUCCAAGUGAAAAAUUGUAGUUUGGCUGAACAGAUUUCAGCAAUGUACAUAGAUCUUUUCUUAGAAAUUUUGAUAUCAACUACAUAUUGUUCAUAAUAAUUACAUAUAAAGUCAGAAUGAAAUN
rnacentral:lncRNA from 1 species